CAGAUACUCACUCCGUCCCAUAUUAAGUGUCUCAAAUUUUUCCAAAUAUGGAUGUAUCUAUGCCUAAAAAGCGUUUAGAUACAUGUAAUAUUUCGACACUUAAUAUGGGACGGAGGGAGUAGGAU
rfam:Brachypodium distachyon strain Bd21 chromosome 1, whole genome shotgun sequence.